CAGAGCCUAAAAACUCUCAAACCCAUUGUUAAUUAUACCUUUUUUGUUGCUUUGGCGGGCAGUCCCAGGGCGGGGCCUUGCCUGUAUUUUUGCAGGUGUCCGCCGAAAGCACCCCUAAAAUUCUUUUUUUAUGGCUGUCUGAGUUUUUUUUUAAAAAAAUAAGUCA
rnacentral:misc_RNA from 1 species